AUCAUCUGACCGACCACCUGAUGAAGAGUUUCAGCUAUACUUGGAAGGUCAGAUUGAGGCCAGAUCCUGAUGGACCUUGAAUGCCGGGUUGAGGAGCUUAGAUGGAAUCCUUCAGAUUUCUGGAACUGCGAGGAGGCAUCUUCAUUUAUGUGCUCCAGUGAAGCCUGGCUCCAAGCAAGUCUCAUCACCCCUGACCGUGAAGAUGCAGGUUGUAACCUGAACCAUAUUGGAGAGUUUCUUUUGGGAUGACUGAAGGCUGGAGAGAAUCUGAAUUUACCUUCCUUCUAAAGAAAGGCAAUCUUUAAAGGCAGUAAGGUGUGACGCUCCAGACUGGCAGCUUGGCAAGGCAGAGCCCAUGGAUACCAGCACACGGGAAUCUGGACCGCUCGCUCUGACAGCAGUCAGCACUGGGAACAAAAGGAAUGGAGGGGAAAAAAAGCGCAAAUGUAUUUUUACAUAUUGUAGGCAUAUGGCCACAAGACCAGCAGAAAUAUAUUUAAUUAACAAUUGCGCACAUUGAAGAGAAAAACACCGGGAAGGAAAAAAAAAAAAAAAAAAAAAAAACCUGUGUACACAGCAAUGUUAUUCUACUUUAACUUUUCACCUCAUUUUUUUUGUUUGUUUGUUUGUUUUCUUUUCUUUCUUUUUUUUUUACCUGAAGAUGAAAAGGAUGUGGUUUAGAAUCGAGAAGGGUUAUCUACUAGAAUCCCAUUGUGAAGGUGCUAUGGGUCUUUGACAUGCCUUUCCAAAUAGUG
rnacentral:lncRNA from 9 species